rnacentral:rRNA from 1 species
GGCUCUCUGUUUACAUAAAUAUAGGGAGUCGAGCCUGCCCAGUGAAUUUUUAAACGGCCGCGGUACUCUGACCGUGCAAAGGUAGCAUAAUCAUUUGCCUUAUAAUUGAAGGCUAGUAUGAAUGGUUUGACGAGAGCAACACUGUCUCCUUUUUAUUUUCAAGAACUUAACUUUUAGGUGAAGAGGCCUAAAUUUUAUUGAAGGACAAGAAGACCCUAUCGAGCUUAAAAGACAUUAUAGAAGUUUAUAUAUUUCUAAAUAAAUUUUCUAUCGAGCUUUUUAGUUGGGGCGACUAAGGAACAAAAAAAGCUUCUUGCUAAUAAUAGACAGUCAUGUUUAGAUCCGAUAAUAAUCGAUCAAAGAAAUUAGUUACCGUAGGGAUAACAGCAUAAUCUCUCUUGAGAGACCUAAUCGAAAGAGGGGGUUGUGACCUCGAUGUUGGACUAGAAUAUCCUAAAGAUGCAGAAGUCUUUGAAAGGUCGGUCUGUUCGACCGUUAAAAUUCU